AAACGGCUUUCCUGGGGCGGGGUGCCGAUCUACAGUGUUUGCUUAUUUCCAUCGUGCAAACACUCCUGUCUCAGGCAGUGUCAAGCUCCCAAUGUGAACUCUUUGUGCAGCAGAGAAGACACGCGCAGUGGCACACCGUCAUCGAGGACCUCCACCUUACAGAUCCGCUGACACAGAUAAUCGCAAGAGCAGGGACAACGGUAAGCUGCAGACAAAUAACCAAAAGGCGAUAACGUGUCAGUUUUCAUUACCUUUGCUUUUAAUACAAGUCAUCAGGUUUUAAGUUUAUAGAAUUUGAUUUUUAUCGUUGCCUACCUGCGACUGUCAUUUACAAACGUAACACUCAGCUCUCGCGAACUGACACAAGCCAUCGCCAGCACACGCUGUAGGUGUCUACUUAAGUUUGCUUAAUUAACCCUUAGUAAACGACACAUGGUGUAUUCCAUUGUGUGAAACUCAGUCUUCCUAUGGUGAGGAAUCAUAUGCCACAGCAGGGAAAAUUAGCGGAAUCCUAGCUCUGAGAUGUAUAAGCUCUGGGACCUUAGACAAAUGACUUAACCUUUCUGAGCUUCAUUGUCUUCGUCUUUACAAUUGGGCACCAGGACCUAAAAAUAAUACUUAACUCAUAAUUGUUUUAUAAAUCAAAAUAAUUCAUGUAAAGAACUUAACAUGAUGCUGAACACAACAUAUGAAUUCAACGAUGUUAAUACCAUCCUUCUCUUUUUUCUCCCUAGUCCUUUUUUUGGUCUUUAUAAUGUCUAGAGGAGAGAUAAAUUAAUCAAGGGACCAAACAACAAUACCACUUUGGGCCAGAUAAAGGAAAGUCCUUGAACCAGGUAACCCUACCCAGAUUGUGUCUUUUUGUGUCUUUGUUCUCUGGCCAAGAUCAGGUAACUAGAAUUACCUACACUUGGUGCCGGAACAGGAGCAAUUACUAUUUAAGUGAAGCAGUCCUUGCAUCCAUGUGGAGAUAAGAAACAACCUUCCCUGAAUCUUUUGAAAAGACUGGGUCUUGAAUGUGGGUCAAGUGGAGUGUUGUGUCUGGGUUGUAACUGUGUAUGAGAAAAAAGAAUUUUGAAAAGGCUAACAUGUUGAAAGAGAAUUAAAGACUCCAUCUGAAAACUUUUCAUAAAUCCAUUCCUGACUUCUACUAAUUUCAAGACAACAGGUUGAUAGUUAACAUACAAAUAUUCCUAAAUAAAGAACGAAUCAUGUAAAUGGAUGCACUGAGUAUAUAAAAAUCACUCAAUAACAUUAGCCAUCUUUUCUCUUUCAUUUACAAAAAGGAUGGGAGAGGCUUGCUUUAAAGUUAUCCAUAAAAGAUAAUAUGAAGUCAUGACAUGUAUUGACAUCUACCGCAUCAGAUAUUACUAAGAAUUUCUAGUUUAAGAAAACCUCUGGGCGCGGGUGAGCAUCUGACUUCAGCUCAGGUCAUGAUCUCCUGGUUCAUGAGUUCGAACCCCGCAUAAAUCUCAUUGCUGUCAGCGCAGAGCUCACUUCAGACCCUCUGUCUCUAUCUCUCUCUCUCUGCCCCUCCCCCACUCAUACUUUCUCUCUAUCAAAAAUAAACAAACAAACAAACAAAGAAAACGUAGGGGCACCUGGGUGGCUCAGUUGGUUAAGCAGUUGACUUUAGCUUGGGUCAUGGUCUCAUAGUUUGUGAGUUUGAGCCCUGCAUUGGGCUCUCUGCUGUCAGUGGGGAGCCUGCUUCAGAUCCUCUCUCUCUCUCUUUCUCUGCACCUCCCCUGCUUACUCUCUCUCUCUCUCUCUCUCUCUCAAAAAUAAAUGAAGAUUUAAAAAAAUUAUCCUCCAAAUAUAUAAUUUCUAUCACUGAAUUGUGAUAAGGCUAUGAGGCUGAUUAUUUCCUUGUGCCUGUGUGAGUUACCUCGUACCUCAUGUAAAUAUUAAAUGACAACAUGUUUAUGUUACUGUGUGGAAGGGCACUGAUUACUAACAUGAAUCAUAAGAACAAACUCUCUAGGAGUUUCUGUAAAGAGUGAAAAUAAAAUGGGACAAAAGACAUCUAGAAUGGAAAGCAUGGUAGAUUUAGCGACUGGGCUCUGGAAUUCUACUGCCUGCUCUCUGUGUAGCCCCCAUGACCUUGGUAAACAAUGACCCAUCUGAUCUUAUUGUCCUCAACUGCAGACUAAGAACUAGACUAGCCCCAUCCACUUUCUGUGACCCGGGGUUAUAAUUUCAUGAAUAGCAUUUACCUAGAAGAAAGGGAUGGGAUUUUGUCAGUGGGGAGUGGGUGGGUAUUUAUGAAGGCACCAGCUCCACAGAGAGAAAAAUUUUAGGGCCAAUAAUAAGUAGACCAGUUAUCUUAAGGUAGACCCCUGAAGGAAAAACAUUCAAAAAAGUCUGAAGGUAAACCAUACAGAAUUUCCAAAGCCAGCGUAAGAAAAGAGAACUUACACUCUAGGUCAAUGGUUCUCAAUGCUCCUGCUCCCCAAAAGCAUUUGGAAAUCUCUGGAGACAGUCUGUGACAAGUUUUCACAACUAGGAGAGGGAAGGUUGUGAUUGGCAGCUAGUGGGUGGAGGCUAGAGACACUGCCAAACAUCCUAGCGUGCACAGCUCCCAGAGCAGAGAAUUAUGUGGCCCACAGUGUAGGUAGUGCCACAGUUAGGAAACCUGACUCCAGACAACAGGGAGCAAUUCCAGAUUGAUGAUUCAGUUAGUGGAUUGCCUCUCUUUCUGUUCUCAGCUAUGCAUAAUAUCGAUGCACUUUAAUCUAGAGAGCUGAACAAUUUAUACUCUGUCCUCUGAUUUUGCAUCAUCCAUGGUUAUGCCUAUUUAACUAAAAAUAAUCACUACAGUGCCAGGGAAUUUGCAUGACUGAUAGCCUUCAAGUUGAUGCUUUAUAGAAUUGUAUUUAGCCUUGGAAAGAGAACGGCAAUUAGUGGGAUGGACCAACCUGUUCUGAUUAAAUAGAAUGUUAAUCUAGAAGUGACCUGAAAGUGAACUCUUUUGGAAGCCAGGAAUGUGUUUGUACUAAUUUGGGAUUUUAUUUUCAAUUUCUCUCUGACAUAAGAGAUGUUGAAAUAGUAAGAGCCAGAAACUGUCUUCAUUGAAUAUCCAUCUGGAAGAAUAAAAUGAUAGAAAUAUUGGAGUAACUCCAGCCUAAUUUUGUAAAUUCAAGAGUGGAGCUGUGGAAUGAACUAUUGUUUCUGAAACCCC
rnacentral:lncRNA from 1 species